rfam:Oryza punctata chromosome 3, whole genome shotgun sequence.
UUUAAACGCAGCCAUAAGUUGUCGUGUCAAACUUUAAUCGUUCGUCUUAUUUGAAAUUUCUUAGAUUAAUAUUUUUAUUGUUAUUAGAUGAUAAAACAUGAAUAGUACUUUAUACGUGACUUAUAUUUUUUAAUUUUUUCAAAAAUUCUUCAAAUAAAACGGACGAUUAAAGUUGGAUACGGAAACUUGUGGCUACGCUUAUA